GCCGGGCUUGGUGGAGCGCUUGUAAUCCAAGCCACUCUGGAGGCUGAGGUGGGAGGAUCACUUGAGUUCAGGAGUUCUGGGCUGCAGUGCUCUAUGCCGAUUGGGUGUCUGCACUAAGUUCGGCAUCAAUAUGGUGCCCUCCUGGGAGCGGGGGACCACCAGGUUGCCUAAGGAGGGGUGAACCGGCCCAAGUCGGAAAUGGAGCAGGUCAAAAAGUGAGGCUUUUAGGUCCCUGGAAGCCUCCUACCCUCAAAGGGGACUGGGGACCCCAUUUUCU
ensembl:misc_RNA Metazoa_SRP Metazoan signal recognition particle RNA